CCAUCUAAAAGCAAAACGACACAAAUUAACACAUUUCAAAUUCACGACGAGCAAAAACCAAUGACGUAUUUGAAGCCGUGUUGACCUGCGCGUGCGUCGGAUAAUAUACAUAUAUAACUGGAGUGGGAGGUGGCAAUUGUAUCAUACGCAACCUAACUCUUGUGAGCGAAACACGUAUUUAACAACCAACAAUGUAUACAAAUCCAUUUGAACGUAAACACUCCGCGCUGAGGCAGACCUUGGACAGGCUUAUCAGAGGAGAAGCCAGAUUGAGCUUCAGAAAGAAAAGUUCCUUAACUAAGAGCAACAGCAGUGCAUCAACCUCUUCAUCGUCCACUGUGUACCCUAAGUUCAUUGAAAAGAAAUGAAUUAAGUGAUGUGAUGUGUUGUGAACAGUUUUACGUAGCUUCGCGUUGAAGCAGAUUAUAUAUUGAUCACCACAGAACAAUGUGGGAGAUGAACCAGCUGUCAGUGAAUGCUGCCAUUGUGUACCGGCUGAUUGCUCUACGAGAUCAAUUAAAUAAAAUUAUACCUUUAUAA